GUGUGGAAGGUGAGUCGUUAGGGCAUAUGGCUACCAACCUGAAGGUUGUGGGUUCGAUUCCCGCCUUUGCACA